rnacentral:lncRNA from 1 species
UUUGAUUUUUUGAUUUUUUUUUUGGAAAAACUUUAAAAACCCUCGUUGUGGUUUCACACUUUUUCAUUUUAGUACCCUGUGGUUUUAAGUGUAUCAAGUUAGUACCCUGUGGUUUCUCACUUUAUCACUUUAGUACCCUGUGGUUUAAAGUGUAUCAAGUUUGUACUCUGUGGUUUUAUUUUUGUUUCAAAUUAGUACUCUGUGGUUUUAUUUUUGUAUCAAGUUAGUACCCUGUGAUUUUUAAACCACAUGGUACUAAAGUGAUAAUGUGCGAAAUCACAGGGUACUAAAGUGAUAAAGUGCAAAACCACAGGAUACUAACUUGACACACUUUAAACCACGGGGUACUAAAUUGAUAAAGUGAAAACCACAUGGUAUUAACUUGAUUUAUUUUAAACCACAUGGUACUAAAGUGAAAAAAAAUAAAACCAUAAGUGGGGUAUUUGAAGUUUUUUCUUUUUUUUU